GAUGGUUGGACGUUGGAUUCAUUUUAAAUGAGGGUGAAGAUCACUUUAAAUCCAGCAUAUUUGUGAAGAAAAGAAAUAGCAUGUCAAAUAAAAUUAACUGCAUGACUCGUCAUAGCCUUAUAUGGAGAAUUUCGUUCUGAACUAUGAGACAGUUGUGACCCCAUACUACCUCAGUGCUCAUGGCAAGAAACCAUACGAUGAAACUGUCUUGAUGAGGAAUUUAAAGAUUACGAGUCCCGUCCGUUUGACCCACAGUUUGGUACCGUAGGUUGGUACGAUCUUCGUUCAUGAAGGAAAAGGGAUGUUCCAGAUACAGAAAAUCGUCAAACCAUUUACUACAAAGUCCGUUUCUGGGUGGAGUUAGUGGAACCGAAAAAGAUGUCUCCCUCACAGCGUUUGUGACAAAAGAAUUGCAUCGUUCCUUGGCGGCCUUUCAACAGAAGAAUAUUCAGAGAUUUCACGAGUG